rnacentral:rRNA from 1 species
AACGAACGCUGGCGGCAGGCCUAACACAUGCAAGUCGAGCGAGGACUUCGGUUCUAGCGGCGGACGGGUGAGUAACGCGUGGGAAUGUGCCCUUCUCUACGGAAUAGCCCUGGGAAACUGGGAGUAAUACCGUAUACGCCCUAUUGGGGAAAGAUUUAUCGGAGAAGGAUCAGCCCGCGUUGGAUUAGGUAGUUGGUAGGGUAAUGGCCUACCAAGCCGACGAUCCAUAGCUGGUUUGGGAGGAUGAUCAGCCACACUGGGACUGAGACACGGCCCAGACUCCUACGGGAGGCAGCAGUGGGGAAUCUUAGACAAUGGGGGCAACCCUGAUCUAGCCAUGCCGCGUGAGUGAUGAAGGCCUUAGGGUUGUAAAGCUCUUUCAGCUGGGAAGAUAAUGACGGUACCAGCAGAAGAAGCCCCGGCUAACUCCGUG